UCUAAAACCCUUCAUUUUCCCAAAUCCUCCUGCAAAGAAGGCCAUCUCCAAUCCGACCAUCUUCCGGCCCCAUCACCACCACUGGCCCCUCGUGCCUGUCCGUUCAAUCCAGCGUUGCCACAACCUCCUCUACCAAAUGACAAAACAUCCUCUGCCUCAACCUUUUCCAUUUGUGCCUGUCAUCUCCAAACCGCCGCAAUCUCUUCAAAGUUCAAAUCGUGGUCGUCACCUCCUUCGCUGCAUCAUUUGUACACAACCAAGACGAAUAUGAGCUAUGUCUGUCUCUGAGAGAGUUGCUUUUGAAAGGGGGGAGAAAUUGGGUGAAUCUGUAAGCAGCUCAAAAUCUCAAAUCAUAGCCAUCUAACGUUAUGGAUUAUGAUGGAGUUUCUAUUUCUUCAUGUGUUUCUUUAAGGUUGGUUAUAAAGUGCGACUGGAGGGUAUGAAAGGGAGGGAUACUUCAUACUUCAUCUUCUCUUUCGCACUAUGGGUAUCUUGUUGAGAAGAUUGCUAGUUGUUAGAAAUUUGAAAGGCAUAACUCAUGUUAUUAUUGAUAAAAUUCACGAGCGUGGAAUGAAUGAAGAUUUUCUACUCAUUGUCCUGAAAGAUCUCCUUCCUCGUCGACCAGAAUUGAGGUUGAUUCUAAUGAGUGCAACUUUAGAUGCAGAACUUUUCUCAUCCUACUUUGGUGGGGCUCAAAUAAUUCACUUUCUGGUAAUAUGAAGUUUGUUAUUAUUUUUGGUGAACAGAAUUGAGCAUCGUUGUGGGGAAGUUUGGUUUCAUUUAACUGAAAUCAUUGUUUGCACAAAAUCAAAUUUAGGACCGUUUGGUGCAUUAUUUUAGUUAUUAUUAUUUCAAACUUUCUUCUUAGUCAAACUUUCAAAAUCAAAUUUAAGACUAACAAUUGUGGAUUGUGUUCGUAUAUUUGGUACAUUUUUUUUUCUUUCUUUCUCUGUUUUGUUCAUAUUCUUGGUAUAAUAUAUUUGGAUUGUGUUUGUGUAUUUGGUACAUUGUGUUAUGGUAUUGACUGAAGAUAUAUGUUUCAUGUGUGC